UGGGGAAUAUUGGACAAUGGGCGCAAGCCUGAUCCAGCCAUGCCGCGUGAGUGAUGAAGGCCUUAGGGUUGUAAAGCUCUUUCACCGGUGAAGAUAAUGACGGUAACCGGAGAAGAAGCCCCGGCUAACUUCGUGCCAGCAGCCGCGGUAAUACGAAGGGGGCUAGCGUUGUUCGGAUUUACUGGGCGUAAAGCGCACGUAGGCGGAUCGAUCAGUCAGGGGUGAAAUCCCAGGGCUCAACCCUGGAACUGCCUUUGAUACUGUCGAUCUGGAGUAUGGAAGAGGUGAGUGGAAUUCCGAGUGUAGAGGUGAAAUUCGUAGAUAUUCGGAGGAACACCAGUGGCGAAGGCGGCUCACUGGUCCAUUACUGACGCUGAGGUGCGAAAGCGUGGGGAGCAAAC
rnacentral:rRNA from 1 species